GAUGAAGAACGUAGCGAAAGUGCGAAACGUAAUGUGAAUUGCAGAAUUCAGUGAAUCAUCGAAUCUUUGAACGCACAUUGCGCCCGCCAGUAUUCUGGCGGGCAUGCCUGUCUGAGCGUCAUUUCAACCCUCAUGCCCCUAGGGCGUGGUGUUGGGGAUCGGCCAAAGCCCGCGAGGGACGGCCGGCCCCUAAAUCUAGUGGCGGACCCGUCGUGGCCUCCUCUGCGAAGUAGUGAUAUUCCGCAUCGGAGAGCGAUGAGCCCCUGCCGUUAAACCCCCAACUUUCCAAGGUUGACCUCAGAUCAGGUAGGAAUACCCGCUGAACUUAAGCAUAUCAAUAAGCGGAGGA
rnacentral:misc_RNA from 1 species